rnacentral:siRNA from 1 species
AUGUCCCUAUUUUGUUAGCUUUGU